GAUGAAGAACGCAGCGAAAUGCGAUAAGUAGUGUGAAUUGCAGAAUUCAGUGAAUCAUCGAAUCUUUGAACGCACAUUGCGCCCUUUGGUAUUCCUUAGGGCAUGCCUGUUCGAGCGUCAUUUAAACCUUCAAGCUAAGCUUGGUGUUGGGUGACUGUCCGCCUCACGGCGGACUCGCCUCAAAAUUAUUGGCGGCCGGUACAUUGGCUUCGAGCGCAGCAGAAACGCGAACUCGGGCCCGUCGUAUUGGCUCCCAGAAGCUAUCUUCACAAUUUUGACCUCGGAUCAGGUAGGGAUACCCGCUGAACUUAAGCAUAUCAAUAAGCGGAGG
rnacentral:misc_RNA from 1 species